UAUGAGCAGUAAGUACGGAAGAGCGGAAUGUCGGUGACUGUAGAAGUAGCAAAGAAAAUUUUAAAAGUUUUUUCUCUUUAAUUGAUAUUCAAUUUUAAACAAAAUGGUUAAUAAUACAAAAAAUAAAAUAUGCAAUUCUAAAAAAACAAUUAAAACUAAAACCACUCGCAUGUAUUCAAUUAUGCACCUGUUAAGCUUUUAACAAAAAAUAUUAAAGUUUAUCGUAAAUUUGCAUUGUUUACGACUUAAAUAAAACAUUUAACUGAAAUUGUGCUUUAUUGAGCCUGUCAGAUGGCAAACAAUAUUGGUGGCAUCGCCCUCGGGAGACCAUCCAAAGGCACCAUGUUAAGCAAACUGUGAAGUAUGAUGAUGGGGCCGUCAUGGUAUGGGGUUGCUGCACUUGGUGGCACGUUGUGCCUCUGCAAAAAAUCUCUGGAAUAAUGAGGAAAGAAGACUACUGCAUACUUUGCAGACUCAUAUAUCCGAUUUUGUGGAGAGGAGUGCUUAUCUUAAAGAGGAAGUCAUAUUUUAACAUACGUAAUGGGUUACGGAAGAAAAUUUCUUACUGAUGCAGGGACCAGCCCAAAGUCCUUAUCUCAAUCCGAUAGAUAAUUUGUGGUCAACUGUGAAAAUAAAGUUGGGACAAUAGCGAUCAACCCCAAAGAAUGUGGACGAGAUUUGGCAACGGAUACAGCGGUAAUAGCAUAGCAUUCCAAAUGAAAUUACACAGAAUUUGGUGGAAAGUAUGCCAUACCGUGUAUAAAGUGUUUUGUGUAAUAAAGGGUUGUGGAUUAAUACUAAAAAUUAGCUAGGUGCAUAAUUGAAUACAUGCGAGUUGCUUUAGUUGUAUUUGUUAUAAUCUUAGAAUUGCAUAUUUUUUGUUUUGUAUUAUUAAUCAUUUUGUUUAGAAUUAAUAUCAAAUAAAGGGAAAAAAAUAUUUUAAAAUUUUCUUUGCUACUUCUAACAUUAUGCAGCAAUAAACAUACGAAUCACAAACAUGUACUCAUUUGUGCUCCGUACUGUAUAUGUUACGUAUACGAUCACUUACGCUCUUUUAGCACAUGCUAAGGUUUUGCCGAUCCCUGCAGAUAUCUGAUAGGCUGAUAGUAAAUUAAGCUACUUUCUUUUAAUUUUUAUAUUUUUACUACUUUUUUAAUAUUUUUUUCCCACAGAAAAACAGAAAGUAAAUUUUAAUUAAACUAAUAAUGCAAAAAACAAAAGUAUUAAAUGGAGAACUAGAAAAAUUUCAUUAAAGUUUCAUUAUAAUUAGCAUUUCUAUACACGAAAUACAUAAUUUACAAAUUAUUGUAAAUUCUGCGAGCUGAGCAAUAACAUUCUUGUAAAAUUCCACGAGACCGAAGUCGAAAGCACAGCUAGUUUUAACAAAUGUAAUCUAAUAAUUUAAACAUAUUUUUUUGAUUUUAUUAAAAAUUGGGUUUGUUGCGAAAAGUUAUACUGUGUUGGAGAUGCUUCUGCAAUAAGCACCUUAAUUUCUAGGUUCCAAGGGAGAACUCCCAAUAGGACCAAAAAUGCCAAAGCAAUAAAAAAAUUAGUACAAUAUAAUAUUUUUUGAUUCUUGGUCGACUUAAUUCAGUCAAAACUAAUUUGGCAUUAUUAUUUCAGGAAAAUUUGGGGCAAAAUGCUGUAUUUUUAUAUGUUUUGGAAAUCGCGUAUUCAAAUAGAUCGCAUAACCACAGUACUACCGAACUUCUAAUUUUAUAUUUAUUUGUAAAUAAUAAUUUAUGACAAUUUAAGACAAAUUAACUUACACAUGCCCACGCUCUCUUUUACCUAAUAAGUAAAAACGGUUCCAUAUGUUUUCUAGUUAAAACUAUCCUUCAAAAUACAUUUGGCUAUCUAACGGUAUAAAAUUUAACUGUUGGAUAAUAUGAGAGCCGUAGAAAAUAAUUUUGGAUGUCCAUAAAAUUAUUUUUAAUGAUAUAGCGGGCACUCUAAAGAUAUCAAAGGAGGGAACAUUUUUGGACAUACAGGAAUAUUUGGAUAUAUUGAAAUCUAGAUGACAGACCUAACAGGCAAGAGAAAGUGCCGUAUUCAAAAGAUUUGAAAGCAAUUCAGUGAACAAUGUGCAGUAAAAUCCAGUUUUUGCUAUAGAAGUAAACGUACUUUUCAUCCAGCAUGUUAAUUUACGACGGGAAAGUUUAUUUACGUUCAUAUAAAAAAGGAGACCCUCUUAUAAAUCACCUUACAAACGGAAAAUUACCAGCUCAAUGUCAAGUCUUAUUCGAGACGAUAUCCUCUUGAAAGCUUAUCAACUGAUCAUCUUCUUACAAUGUGUGUAAGCAACUUCUUCAAUGGCCUUGAACAAAUUAUUUAAUAGAUGAAUAAUUUUCACUUUUGAAGAAGUUUUUAAUAAGCACAACGACAAAGACGCAAAAAAUGCUAUUCCAAGGGUUCAACGUGGUCAGCAUCUAACUGCUGUAAUGGUUUGGUGGAGAGUCUCCUGUAAAAGCGUUAAAUCUCUUCACUUCUGUGAAAAAGUGUACUAGGAUGUUUCAGAAGCCAAGGUAAAGGCAGUUAAUCUAUAUUCUCUUCUAUAGAGAGCAUUGGAUCUUCCAGCAAGAUUCUGCUCCAGCAGACCACUCAACAGUGGCUCAAAAUCAAUAUUUCUGGCUUUUUGAUGCAAAUGAUUACCUAUCUGGAAGUCGAGAUUUAGAUCCAUUGGACUACAGCUUGUGAUCAGAGUUGGAGAACAUGGCCUGCCGAAUACGCCACAGAAAUUUGGAGAGUCUCAAAAAGUCUUUGUUUCGAGCAGCCACGUCAAUACCAAUAGAAACUGUGAGUGCUGCUGUUGAUAAGUGGCUGAAUCGUUUGAAGCCUUAAGUAAAAACAAAAGGUGACCAUUAGUAAAAUUUUGUACAUCGCUCAUUUAAUAUAUGGAUUAUUAUAUAAAA